rnacentral:rRNA from 1 species
AUUGAACGCUGGCGGCAUGCCUUACACAUGCAAGUCGAACGGCAGCGGGGGAGAAGCUUGCUUUUCCUGCCGGCGAGUGGCGAACGGGUGAGUAAUACAUCGGAACGUGCCCUGUAGUGGGGGAUAACUAGUCGAAAGAUUAGCUAAUACCGCAUACGACCUGAGGGUGAAAGUGGGGGACCGCAAGGCCUCAUGCUAUAGGAGCGGCCGAUGUCUGAUUAGCUAGUUGGUAGGGUAAAGGCCUACCAAGGCGACGAUCAGUAGCUGGUCUGAGAGAACGAUCAGCCACACUGGGACUGAGACACGGCCCAGACUCCUACGGGAGGCAGCAGUGGGGAAUUUUGGACAAUGGGCGAAAGCCUGAUCCAGCAAUGCCGCGUGUGUGAAGAAGGCCUUCGGGUUGUAAAGCACUUUUGUCCGGAAAGAAAUGGCUCUGGUUAAUACCUGGGGUGGAUGACGGUACCGGAAGAAUAAGGACCGGCUAACUACGUGCCAGCCGCCGCGGUAA